rnacentral:lncRNA from 1 species
UACAAUAUAUUUAAAAACAACCCCUAUUUUGGUAAUAUUUACUCUAAUAUUAAUCUGCUUUUGAAGUUUUUAACUGGAAGCAGACCAGAUAUAAUUUCUUAUAUUUCUUAUAUAGUUAGUGUAUCUCAUAUAUUUCUUUCUGUUUUAGGAUUUAAUUUGUAUUUAAGUACUCAUACUACACUGAGGCAUGACGUGAUGAACAGUCUGACUUCUGCGUUACAAGAGAAUCUGACCAAAGAAAAGGCACAUACACCUCUUGCAGAUCAGUCUUCAGUUUUUCCCAAUAUGCAGACGUGAACUUGUCACUGAAGUAAGUCUGAUUAUAAAUAGCAUUGUCUGUUGCAAAGUGCCUAUCUGCAUGUGUGUAUUUUUACCCCAUGCCAUGUGAAGUGGUUUAAAACAUUUUUUAUGGAAAGUUGUAAGGUAGUCUUUAACCCAGAUUAGUUUUGAUGGAGGACUUUGUCACCCUAGAGAUUGUAUAAGUGGUCUGUUUCAGUGGAAUAUGGGAAACUGGUUGCUAAGAGCCUGAGACCUAUUCAGCUUGAUAGUUGAAACAGUCCAUUAGUGACAUUUGAGAGAGCCAGUUUGAUUGUCUCUCACAGUCCUCACUCCUGUUCAGGAUUUGCUACCAUGUAGUGCAUUGUGAGAGGACUUACAUAAGCCUUUUAAGAUCAGACAGAUCUGAGAUACUGAAAUACAACAAAAACCAUGCAUGCUGAGAGAAAAAGACAAAAUCUGUCUUUUUCUGCAUGUAUACCUCAUGCAGCAUCAAACAAUGCGUGAUGUUCUGAAAGUGCAGCUGGAUAUAUUCAAUGUGAUGUGAUGGCAAAUAUGGAGAAAAACAGAGUGAUAGGAAAAUCACCAAAACCGUCUGAAAUCUUUCUGUUUCUGGAAGAACAUGGAAGAUCUUGAGUAGCACUUUCCUGAACCAGGAGUUAGAAUAUAUAGUUGAGACAGAUCACCAUUUCCAGAGCAAUGUUGUAUAGCACUGAAGCACCAGAACAGUUAGUGGACACAGUUAUCGGACACAGUUAUCCAAACUAAUAAUAAACAUGAAUAGAAUAUUAACUAGUGUGGCA